GUUUUCUUGGAGAAGAAGCUCUGUCAUCUUCUUACAUGAGCAAAGUAAACAUCUAUGUCUCUCCCACAUUGUUGGUCAUGUUUUCUGUUACUUGCAGCUGAAUGCAUUCCUGUGCCAUCAAUCAUGUCCACUUUAGAGAUAAACAGGGCAUCGAAAAAGGGGAGGUCUUCCUUUGGAGCCAGCUUCUUGUUUCUUGGAACUGGAGAUUCAGGUGGAGGAGGAGAAAAGUCCCUCUGCCUGGGGGUUGAGCUGGGGAUGAGGAGUGGAGUUUCCGGCAGAGAAGUCUUGGGGUAAGGCCAAUACUCGCUCUUCCAUGACAGAGCCUGAGGAUCUUCCCUGGCCCCAGGUCCCAGGCCUUGGCUGCAUGAGGAGUCACAAGAUGCCUCUCCUGAACCAGGGAGUUCUCCCUAACACUGAUGGGCACUGGUGGGCAGGGAAGAAGACAGCAGUAGCCAUGGGUGGUGACUCAGAUCACAGACCUGGCUCCAGUCCCUGCUCUGCCACGAACUGCCUGUGUGUCCCAGUGCCCCAACCAACUCCCUUAGGGCAAGGACUCUGAGCCCUCAUCCGUGAAUAGGACUCUCUGUGUUCACAGGGAGCCUCCUGCCCCAGGUCCCCUGGCCUCUGAGCUUCUUCUCAGAAACAGUCAAGAAAACUUUUAAGCUAUUUACAGAUUUUAACAAGUGAGUAAAUUAUAUUCCUAUGAACAAAAUCUGGAGCAUAUUUGUUUCACUCUACCUGAUUUUUCAAUAAUUUGGAAACUAUUUGUGAGUAUUCUUUUUUCUUUUGAGAUGGAGUUUUGCUCUUGUUGCCCAGGCUGGAGUGCAAUGACGCCAUCUCAGCUCACCACAACCUCCACCUCCUGGGUUCAAGUGAUUCUCCUGCUUCAGCCUCCCGAGUAGCUGGGAUUAUAGGCAUGUGCCGCCACGCCUGGCUAAUUUUGUUUUGUAUUUUUAGUAGAGACAGGGUUUCUCCAUGUUGGUCAGGCUGGUCUCGCACUCCUGACCUCAGGUGAUCCGCCUCACUCAGCCUCCCAAAGUGCUGGGAUUACAGGUGUGAGACACCACGCCCAGCUGUGAUUAUUCUUAACUUAUGACAAUAAAGUUAUUUGCAUAAGUGCAGUAAUAAUCUGUUUUCAUUUGUAACAGGACACAAUUGGAGAAACUGGUUAUUUUACCAAGACUUUGACUGGAAUGGUGUGCUUUCCAUUAAGGAAUCAAACUUGAAUUAUGGAGCCAAAUAAAGCCCCUUGGAAAAACUGGCCUCAUACCCCUUGUCUACUUCGCCCCUGUACAGGGUUCCUGACCUUCGCUAGGUAAAGAAUGUCACUUUCUGACAGGCUUAGGAGCCCCAAAUUUGUAUUGGAACCCCAAGAGAGAGGAACACUCAACUCAUAAGAUACUUGAUGGCACAAAUCCAUGGCUGGGCUCAGCUUUAAAAAAGUCUUAUCCGAGAUUCCUCCUAUGGAACACAGUUCCAUCAAAGUCAAUUUAAAAGCCUAUGUAAAAAAUAAUUAUUCUUUUUUUUUUUUUUUUGAGUUGGAGUCACACUCUGUUGCCCAGACUGGAGUGCAGUGGCAUGAUCUUGGCUCACUACAACCUCCACCCCAUGGGUUCAAGUGAUUCUCAUGCCUCAGCCUCCUGAGUAGCUAUGAUUAUAGGUGCCCAGCAUGCCUGGCUAAUUUUUGUAUUUUUAGUAGCGAUGGAGUUUCAUCAUGUUGGCAAGGCUGGUCUCAAACUCCUGACCUCAGGUGAUCCACUCACCUCGGCCUCCCAAAGUGCUGGGAUUACAGGCAUGAGCCACCGCACCUGGCCAAAAAAAAAUUUUCAAUUUGUUAGUAAAUAUGUCCUGUUCCACACCAAAAUAUUCUUCCAUUAGAAAGCCUAUGUUUCUAAAAAUUAUAAAAUGUGUAUUCAUAAGUUGUUAGCAUGUGACUAACAUUUAAAAAUUGCUUACUUCUUGCUGGGUGGUGUGGCUCCCAUCUAUAAUCGUAGCACUUUGGGAGGCUAAGGAGGGCGGAUCACUUGAGGCUAGGAGUUUGAGACCACCCUCACCCACAUGGUGAAACCCUGUCUCUACUAAAAAUACAAAAAUUAGCCAGGUAUAGUGGCGCAUGCCUGUAGUCCCAGCUACUCUGGAGGCUGAGGAAUGAGAAUCAAUUGAAGCUGGGAGGUGGAGGUUGCAGUGAGCCAAGAUGGCACCACUAUAAUCCAGCUUGGGCAACAGAGCAGACUAUGCCUCAAAAAAAAAAAAAAAAAAAUCGCUUGCUUCUUGGGUUUCCAAUGUGAAUUAAGGUUACUAAAAGUUAAAAUUCUGACUAAUAUAUGGUAACUAAAACUAGAGAUGAGAAACAAUUCUAUAUAGAGCAUAUAAAGAAAAUAAUUUUUUUUGGUGAAAAGGUUAUGAAAAAAGUCAUAAAGAUGUGGUUUUGUUAAAGGAAAAGUAAUUUUGUCUGGUUUAGGUUGUAUUAAAUUGAAGGAAUAAAAGAAGGAAAAAAUGACGUAGAUAAACCAAAUGGAAAUGGAAAAUUGGAGAAGGAAAGAAAAUGGGAAAAAUUGUAAGAGGUUAUCAAAGGUUUGUAGAAAUUUAUCUUGUGUGGUCAAAGCUGAUUGAUAUUGGAUAGAAGUUUAUAAAGCUUUAUUAAAAUUAGCUUUAAUAUUAAUAAUACACUAAUUUGGUUUUCUCUUUUAAACAAGAUUUUCAUGAAAUAUUAAUAAAAGACUUUUUGAGUAGGCCGGGCGUGGUGGCUCAUGCCUGUAAUCUCAACACUUUGGGAGGCUGAGGUAGGAGGAUCACUUGAGCCCAGGAGUUGAGGCCAACCUAGGCAACAUAAAAAAAAUUAGCCGGGUGUGGUGGUGCACAUCUGUAGUCCCAGCUAUUCCAGAGGCUGAGGUGGGAGGAUCACUUGAGAGGGAAGUAGAGGCUGCAGUGAGCCAUGGUCCAUGCCACCGCACUCCAGCCUGGGUGACAGAAUGAGACCCUCUCUCAAAAAAAACAAAACAAAAAAAUAUAAACCAGUCUGGGCACAGUGGCUCAUGCCUAUAAUCCUAGCACUUUGGGAGGCUGAGGCGGGGGGGUCAUGAGGUCAAGAGACGGAGACAUCCUGGGCAACAUGGUGAAACCCUUCUCUACUGAAAAUACAAAAAUUAGCUGGGCGUGAUGCUGGGCACCUGUAGUCCCAGCUACUUGGGAGGCUGAGGCAGGAGAAUCGCUUGAACCUGGGAAGCGGAGGUUGCAGUGAACCAUGAUCAUACCACUGCACUCCCGCCUGGGUGAUAAGAGUGAAACUCUUGACUCAAAAUAUAUAUAUAUAUAUGUAAAAUAUUUUAAUGUUCAUGCUGGUCAGCUGGGCCUAAACUCCAAAAGGGAGAAGGUAUCAUGAAGUGUAUCUGACCUCCCUUCCCGUCAUGGCUGGGAAUUCCAUUUUUCAGGUUUCUCUGGGGUCCUCUUGGCCAAGAGGGGAUCUAUUCAGUUGGAUAGAGGGCUUAGAAUUUUAUUUUUGGUUUACAAGAGAGUUGGAGAAUGACUUGG
rnacentral:lncRNA from 10 species